UACAGAGGGGGCAAGCGUUGUUCGGAAUUACUGGGCGUAAAGGGCGCGUAGGCGGCCUUCUAAGUCGAACGUGAAAUCCCUGGGCUCAACCCAGGAACUGCGUCCGAGACUGAAAGGCUUGAAUCCGGGAGAGGGAUGUGGAAUUCCAGGUGUAGCGGUGAAAUGCGUAGAUAUCUGGAGGAACACCGGUGGCGAAGGCGGCAUCCUGGACCGGCAUUGACGCUGAGGCGCGAAAGCCAGGGGAGCAAAGCGGG
rnacentral:rRNA from 1 species